UACGAGAGGCCCAAACGUUAUUCGGAAUUACUGGGCUUAAAGAGUUCGUAGGCGGCGCAGAAAGUAGGGUGUGAAAGCCCUCGGCUCAACCGAGGAAUUGCGCUCUAAACUACUGUGCUUGAGGAAGCUAGAGGUGAGCAGAACAGAUGGUGGAGCGGUGAAAUGCGUUGAUAUCAUGAGGAAGACCAGUGGCGAAGGCGGGUCUCUGGACAGUUCCUGACACUGAGGCACGAAGGCCAGGGGGAGCAAAACGGG
rnacentral:rRNA from 1 species